rnacentral:rRNA from 1 species
GAAUUNACNCGACUGCCNCGACUGUUAUGCUAUCUAAAUGGGACGUUGGAUUUCUAUGGAUCUCAGCACUGAGACCGCUCGGNCUGUGAUCAGGCCUAACACAUGCAAGUCGAACGGCAGCACAGGAGAGCUUGCUCUCUGGGUGGCGAGUGGCGGACGGGUGAGGAAUACAUCGGAAUCUACUCUGUCGUGGGGGAUAACGUAGGGAAACUUACGCUAAUACCGCAUACGACCUACGGGUGAAAGCAGGGGAUCUUCGGACCUUGCGCGAUUGAAUGAGCCGAUGUCGGAUUAGCUAGUUGGCGGGGUAAAGGCCCACCAAGGCGACGAUCCGUAGCUGGUCUGAGAGGAUGAUCAGCCACACUGGAACUGAGACACGGUCCAUGACUCCUACGGGAGUGCAAGCAGUGGGGAAUAUUGGACAAUGGGCGCGCCUGAUCCCUCGUGGUAAG